AGGUAGUCACGUAGUUGAUCAUGGCUACAGAACGAACGCUGGCGGCAUGCCUAACACAUGCAAGUCGAACGAGACCUUCGGGUCUAGUGGCGCACGGGUGCGUAACACGUGGGAAUUUGCCUCGGGGUAUGGAAUAACUCAGGGAAACUUGAGCUAAUACCAUAUAAUGUCUUCGGACCAAAGAUUUAUCGCCUUUAGAUGGGCCCGCGUUGGAUUAGCUAGUUGGUGGGUAAAGGCCUACCAAGGCGACGAUCCAUAGCUGGUCUGAGAGGAUGAUCAGCCACACUGGGACUGAGACACGGCCCAGACUCCUACGGGAGGCAGCAGUGGGGAAUAUUGGACAAUGGGCGAAAGCCUGAUCCAGCAAUGCCGCGUGAGUGAUGAAGGCCUUAGGGUUGUAAAGCUCUUUUACCCGAGAUGAUAAUGACAGUAUCGGGAGAAUAAGCUCCGGCUAACUCCGUG
rnacentral:rRNA from 1 species